rnacentral:lncRNA from 1 species
AGUAUAGGCCCCAUUAUACUCAUAAAUUUUUAACCGUUGUUUGAUAGGAUGUGUGGUUAGGAUGAUGGUGGUCCCCAUUUAGAAUGAUGGUGAUCCCCUGGGGUUGAGUUGGUAGUUGGUUGAAUAGUAUGAUCUAACGGAUGGAAAUGAUCAACGAAAUAAAUCUAAGGGCCAAAAACUUAUGAAUAUAAGACCGUCAAUACUCAUAAAAAUAUAGUAGCCGAACUCUCUCUCUCUCUCUCUUUGCUUCAAUUAUUGAAAACAUAUAUAUAUAUAUAUAUAUAUAGUAGGGCUAGAAUACUUUUACAAGUAUCACCCAAGUGAUACUUGUGUGUUUUUAGCCAUUGGAUCUACUUUUUGAUUACUAAUAGUCCUUGGAUCAAACACUAUUCCACCUACCACCACCUAUCACCAUCAUCUCAACCUCACAUCUCUCCAUCCAAGGGCUAAAACCACACAAGUAUCACUUGGGUGAUACUUUUACAAGUAUUCUAGCUCUACUCUUUCUCUUUCUCUAUAUAUAUAUAUAUUGGGUGAUACUUUUACAAGUAUUCU